ACAGUCUGAUCUUUUGCAGAGCACCUGAAGAUCAUUUAUGAUCAGUCUAAAGCCUGUUUAGACAAUCUGUUAGGACAAAGUCUGUGAUGCUGGCUACAUAUUUUCAAACUGUGAAACACGAGCAUAAAUCUGUUAAAUCAAGUCAUACUGCAGUCAGGAUGCAAUGCAUGGGUACUGGACAAAAGGUUCAACUUCUUUCACAUCAUUAUUAGCAGCAGCAUAUCUUCCAGCAUGAUUAACAUAAAAUUACUUCAUCAUUGGGCCAUGAUGUCGUUGGAACAAUGACAAUUCCUCGUCAUUACCAAAUCCUCUUGGCCAACAGCAACGGGGCGCGAAUUACCCCAAGACACCAGAGUGUCAAAUACCACAAGCCCAUCCCGUAUUUCACAACACCCAUCACCAGGCGAUGAUGGCAGACAGAGAUGGAACGCACAAAGAGUGCAAGGCACAAAAUGUGUGAAUAUGUGCACAUACAAACACCCAACCUAUCCUCACACACUUAUUCAGACAUAUGAAAAGACUGUGAUUCUGUCUAAUUUAAAGUGACAAGAAAUGGGCAUAAAGUAAGUUCCUGGACACUGAAGGACAGUAAUGAUCCCUGACAUCAUAAGAGAUAUAUAUGAUCUUUAGAUAUGCUAAUUGUUAAUAAUUAAUAAACCCAGAUGUAUUUAGUUGCCUUGUAUGCGAAAAAUACAUGUCUAUUAAAUGUUCAACUUGUCUGGUGAGCAAAGUGUCUCAUUUUUAACAAGAUGCAGAGACUUAGAACUUUCAAAACUAUCCCAAACAGAAUGUUUUAAACAUCUCACUUUAUGACAAGCAGUAUGUUACAUACUCAAACUAUAAAGCUGCAUGUUACAAAACCACAUGCAUCUGUUUCUUUCUUUUCUGUGUCUAACAGAGCACAAGAAACAGCAGAUCAGACAGCUGAUUAGCAAAGAAGAGUAAACCAGCAUGCUCGUAUAUAGUAAAGUGAUCAUCAUUACCCAUGUACCUGAAGAAUAUUGACAUAGAAAGGGAUUAUAAACAGUUCUGAUGGUUACAAUCACCAUUACAAGGAAGACAACAGGAACCGUAACUGGAAACUGUGUGUUUAUGGGAGCACUGUAAAACAGGAACAUUCAGCUUGUAAGAAGGAAAAAAAGGGUUGCAAAUAGAUAAAACACACAGAACACGUAACAGUUCAUUGGCUGUGCUUUCUAGCCUGGAGUUACACUAACUGUGAUUGCUGUACAUCCACUUAAAUGUAUAUGUGUCUGUGCAUUAAUGUGGAGUGUGAAGUGUGAAAAGGAGAGAUUUAAACAAUUUCAUGGUUAGGAGCUAGGUUUGGCGUUAUGAGUGUUUAUACUGUCAUGAGUUUUUGUUUGCAUUUUCUGUGUAUUAGGUUAAAGAAGGAAAUACACUUUCAUUGCGUGAUAAUAUAAAUCAUUAAAAGCACAAAAGAAGCCAUGUGUGUAUUCACAUAUGGGUGUGGAUGUUGUUAGCUAUCACGACAGAGCUGUGGGUGAUUAGCACAGAUCAUUAGCAGGCUGUGCAGCCUGAGGAACAGGCUUUACUACCUGAAGGGGGGUUAGGGUUAGCGGGGGGAGGAGGGGUGUGUGUGUGUGGGGGGUGUUAUGAGCACAGAUUGUUACUUGUUGUGUGAGGCCUGCAAAGAAUUAGGAUUUAGAUGACACUGAUCUGUUGCUUUUAUGAGCACUGAAAAUUAUUUCUCACAAUAUUAUCUCCAAUGUAUUGUGUGUAAGAUUGUAUAGACACGCGUGGGCCUGGGUCUUCUUUUCCAUAAUACCACACAGAUAUCCUGUGUCCUAUUUUUAGGUGAGUACAAAGGUUGAAUGAGGAAACAGGGGUGGAAUUGAAUUGUAAUGGAGCAUGGUGCUGCUUCACUGAAGUGGAUGUCUUUGACUGUGACAAUACAACGAGACAAUGCUGCAAGGUUCAAAAGUUGGCUGUGAGGGUCAACUUGUCGAAAGAAUUUCUUCCACCUGAAGCCAAGGGAAAACUGGAUGAGGAGACAAUCUAUUAGGCUGGCAUGAAGUCCUUUAAUCGUAUGUCUCCCCUCUCAUUAGAAAUUUCGCUGACAGCCAUAGAGCCAACCAGGAGGGGACAUGUGUUAUACAUGUGAUGUGUGUGUGUGAGUGGGUGUGUUUGUGCGUGACUGCCUGCCUGUAUGUUUGAGUUAUUUGUGUGAAGGCCGACCUCGGAGGAUUGGACACAGAGAAGUAGGAGGCCUUGGGGGCCUAAAUCAAAGACAAGAAUGCAUUAAGGUCACUAAAGUAGGAACAAAAGAACUUUAAUCUUGUGUUCCCAUGGGAUUAAAGCAGCAAUCAAAGUUAAAAGAAAAAUAAAACUGUGACAUAAAUUAAUUUUAGGAAUCUAACAAACGAAUGGUUAUUCAGUCUCUCAGAAUCAGCUUUAUUGCCAAGGUUUACACAUACAAGGAAUUUACUUUGGUGACUUGGUGCAUGAAUAAACAUACAAUAUCUAAAUAUAAAAAUAUUAAGUUGACAAAGUAAAUGACAGAACAAAAAUUGUGCAAAAGAAUUAAAAAUCCUAUUAUUGACAAACCUGGUCAUAUAACCAGUGACCACUGACUUUAAAGAGCACCAUCACACUAUUGGUCAGCUGUAAUAAGUGACCACAUGAUGUCACAGAGGGGAACAAACUCAUAAACAAGUGCUAAGUGCGACAUCGACCAUUGGCAUUGACAUCACUUCUCUUCAUUAGUCACUGUAUCAACAGGAGAAGUUUACUUUGGUGCAACACUGUUGUCUUUUACAUCUGGAUGCCACAUAUCGUCACGGGUUACCACAGACCCGUUAUGGCACACUUUACAGGCAGAUGGUGUCUCUCAGAGGAUGACAGAAGAGGAUCACAGACAUUUAUCGACUGGACAAGAAAGAAAACCAAGGAGAGAGGGGUCGGGAGGGCUUCCUGGAUAUCUUUUUCGAAAAAAGGUUGUCAUGGUCGAUCAAAGAAGUUGAGUGCACAUACUCAGCAUCAUAUCGUGAGGUUGUCUUUGGGAAAUAGACGUAUUAGUGCUGUCAGCAUUGCUGUAGAGGUUGAAGGGGUAGGGGGUCAGCCUGUCUGUGCUCAGACCAUACGUCGCACACUGCAUCAAAUUGGUCUGCAUGGCUGUCGUCCCAGAAGGAAGCCUCUUCUAAAGAUGAUGCACAAGACAGCCCACAAACAAUUUGCUGAAGACAAGCAGACUAAGGACAUGGAUUACUGCAGACAGACUCAGCCGCCCUGAUUUCCUCGGGCAGGCUGUCCCAGUAUUCCAGCAUGAUAUCGACCCCAAACACACCUCCAAGACGACCACUGCCUUGCUAAAGAGAUACUGUAAUUUAUUCGCUCAAGAUGCAAAACAUUUCCACACUAUAUUCCUGUGCAGUCCAACGCUUAGCCACCCAUCGUCACUAUAUUGAAGCCGUGCUAGCCUUUCCAAAGUGUCCGAACCAGUAUUAGACCAUCAAGUGACACUGUAUGACUAUAAAAACAUACUUGUUCAGAUGGUUUGGCAGCUCUCUUUGGUUGUUAAAAGACAGGUUUCACAGCAGGCUUUUUCAGUGAAACAGUUUAGUGAAAUCCUCUCAGACAACACCGAACCUAUUUUUUUCUGAUCAGCCACAUGCAAUCAAUAGUAAUACUACAAGAAAAAGUUAUUGAUGACAUUACCCAAUACCAAAAUGGAGAGAAAGUAGAAGAAUAGAAGAUAAUAGAAGAAUAAACUAAAAAGAAUUCAGUUCACUUAGGAUGCACACUUUUGUCACCUGUAUAUAUCUCCUCUUAUACUUGGAGCUAGUGUAGUACUUGAGACCGGUCUUGAGAUCACUUUUUGAUGGUCUUGGUCUUGUCUUGGACUCGACCGCAUUUGUUCUCGGUCUUGGACAUUGAGGACUCAGGAUUUUAUUUCAAGGGAUAUCAAUAAAUUUCUUUUGCAUUAUCUGAUUUAUUUGUUAGCAUCCUAACUUUGACUGGAUGGAAAACGUAUUGCUUCAAAUGCAACCAAUAACCCUAAUUAAAAAUGUGUUGUUACCAUUA